UAAGGAAUAUUGGUCAAUGGACGCAAGUCUGAACCAGCCAUGCCGCGUGAAGGAUGAAGGUCCUCUGGAUUGUAAACUUCUUUUAUCUGGGACGAAAACGGGAUUUUUAUCUCAAUUGACGGUACCAGAGGAAUAAGCACCGGCUAACUCCGUGCCAGCAGCCGCGGUAAUACGGAGGGUGCGAGCGUUAUCCGGAUUUACUGGGUUUAAAGGGUGCGUAGGUGGGCAGAUAAGUCAGUGGUGAAAUCUUCCGGCUUAACCGGGAAACUGCCGUUGAUACUAUUUGUCUUGAAUAUUGCGGAGGUAAGCGGAAUAUGUCAUGUAGCGGUGAAAUGCUUAGAUAUGACAUAGAACACCAAUUGCGAAGGCAGCUUACUACACAAUCAUUGACACUGAGGCACGAAAGCGUGGGUAGCGAACA
rnacentral:rRNA from 1 species